rnacentral:lncRNA from 1 species
CAGGAACUGACUGCUGAGAGCCGUGGGACAGACAACACCCUACUCAGUUUUUGCACAUUCAAGCAAAAUGCUAUGUCCUUCCUGGAUGGACCAAGUCCCAUUUUUGCAGAACAUUGGACAGCCUUCCAACUGCACAAGAGAAGCAAGAGCAAAAGGCCAAAAACAUCAGGAAAAUGAAUGUGACAGUUGAGAGAUGUCUCACAAGGACAGGCACUGUAUCAGGAGCAUCUGAGGAGUUGUUACUAUCUGAAACUUCUAACAUAAAUGACCAUCUUGGCUUAACUCCACCAUGCUCUCUGAAAUUCAUUUCCCAUCAUCUGUCUUUUCACCCAAGCCGAAGUGUCUGAGAGACUGAGACUUCAGAAACCCACAGAAAAGGACACAGAAAAAUGAAGCUUUUGCUUUUGGCCUGCUCACCCUCACUCUUGCUGGCAAGUUCAGCCAUCAUGAUGCCGAGGCAUUCUUUCACUAAUGUUAGAAGAUGCUUCUUUGGAAUCCAACAUAUCCUGAAGACCUGCUGAGACAUCCUGCCUAUCAGAUUCUUGGCCGUUCCAUCGGGAGACAGUCAUUGUUGGACUAGCUGGACCACAGCCUGUAAGCCACUCUAAUAAAUGCCCAUUUAAUGUUAAUUCAUUCUAUUAGUUCUGUUCCUCUGGAGAACCCUGGCUAAUAGAGGUAGGUAUGCUGUCACUUUCCU